rnacentral:tRNA from 1 species
GGGCCUAUAGCUCAAUUGGCAGAGCAACGGACUUUUAAUCCGUGGGUUCGGGGUUCGAUUCCCCGUGGGCCCACAA